AUUGAACGCUGGCGGCAGGCUUAACACAUGCAAGUCGAACGAGUGGCGGACGGGUGAGUAAUGUCUGGGAAACUGCCUGAUGGAGGGGGAUAACUACUGGAAACGGUAGCUAAUACCGCAUACCAUCGGAUGUGCCCCGAUGGGAUUAGCUAGUAGGUGGGGUAAAGGCUCACCUAGGCGACGAUCCCUAGCUGGUAUGAGAGGAUGACCAGCCACACUGGAACUGAGACACGGACCAGAGUCCUACGGGAGGCAGCAGUGGGGAAUAUUGCACAAUGGGCGCAAGCCUGAUGCAGCCAUGCCGCGUGAAUGAAGAAGGCCUUCGGGUUGUAAAGUACUUUCAGCGGGGAGGCGUUACCCGCAGAAGAAGCACCGGCUAACUCCGUGCCAGCAGCCGCGGUAAUUC
rnacentral:rRNA from 1 species